CCUACGGGAGGCAGCAGUGAGGAAUAUUGGUCAAUGGACGAGAGUCUGAACCAGCCAAGUAGCGUGAAGGAUGACUGCCCUAUGGGUUGUAAACUUCUUUUAUAUGGGAAUAAAAUGUUCCACGUGUGGGAUUUUGUAUGUAACAUAUGAAUAAGGAUCGGCUAACUCCGUGCCAGCAGCCGCGGUAAUACGGAGGAUCCGAGCGUUAUCCGGAUUUAUUGGGUUUAAAGGGAGCGUAGGUGGAUUGUUAAGUCAGUUGUGAAAGUUUGCGGGUCAACCGUAAAAUUGCAGUUGAAACUGGCAGUCUUGAGUACAGUAGAGGUGGGCGGAAUGCGUGGUGUAGCGGUGAAAUGCUUAGAUAUCACGAAGAACUCCGAUUGCGAAGGCAGUUCACUGGACUGCAACUGACACUGAGGCUCGAAAGUGUGGGUAUCAAACAGGAUUAGAUACCCGUGUAGUC
rnacentral:rRNA from 1 species